GUCCUCACCAACCAACCGGCACGCCUGCUUCGCCUCUCCCGUGAGCCCUGCGGAAGCGUUAUGGGACCAUGGGACGAAGCCUUUUCUACGUAAAGGGGCCGUGUCGGUGGCCUUCAGGAACGGGCCGAGGGGUUGCCGCGUGCCCUGCGACGACGGCGUCCGGCUCCCGGCGCGGCCGAAGUGUGCGGCCUCAGGACGUGACCGUUCGCAGGAGACCCUGACCUAGAGACGGCUGCCUGGCGAUGGCAGGAACUUCCCAGAUGGCGAGACGGCCUUCCUUGGCGCUCCAUGUGGAUCCUCCUCAUCGGGCAUCCAGGAGCUGAGUCGGAGGCUAUGACCCGCAGAGGGGCUGAAAGCGGGGUGCUGGGUCGGGACUCUGGACCUGGGAUUAUGGAGUCAGCUUUGGGGACAGGGAGGUCCAGACUGUGGCCCCUUAGGCCACACGGUGCGAGAGCCUCACUUUUGUUCACAGUGCUGUGGUGCGCAGGACAGAGCAGUCCCGGGGCGUGUCCCAUCACUUGUCCAUUGUGCCUUCUGUGUCUUUUGUGCUUCUUGUGUUGUACAUGCCUUGCCUUAUCUCUUCUGGGGAUUACCAGAAACCCCGGCGUCACUCCUCGCAUCUCUGAUCGCUGGGCUCCUCGGCCCAGCGCUGACGCCGUCAAAGCUUUGCCUCAGCAGCUCUCUGAGGCCUUGGAAUCGCGUCUCUCUUUUAAAAGCAUCCGAUCGGAUGUCUUUUAGAGGUCUUGUUCCGAGCUGUGUCGACAGCCGUGCGCCGCGAGGAUCCAUUGUUGCGGCUUAGGUCUUGAAGAAACGCAAGGAUUGGUAGGGGACUGUAGCCCAAAAUUCUCGGGCAUCCGUCUUGGCAGUUGCUGGAGUUUGUCAUUCCAUCAGCAUCUUCUUCCUCCCGGGUUCUGCGACCUUCAUCAGCUCGCCUUCAUUCUCACCCGGCUCAUCUCGUUCCGUGUUCUCUCGGUCCUUGCGGCCGUUCUUGUGGCCCAGAGUUUUGUCUCCCCGUUGUGUCCUCUCGUCUGUUGUCUUGUGUGUCACGGGUGUCUGGGUGUAGCUGUCCCAGAGCUGCUCUGUCCUGCUGCCCAGCCUGGGUGUAGGUGUAAAAGGCCAAGUCCCAGGCCCCUGUAAUU